UACAGAGGGGGCGAGCGUUGUUCGGAAUUACUGGGCGUAAAGGGCGCGUAGGCGGCCUUCUAAGUCGAACGUGAAAUCCCCGGGCUCAACCCGGGAACUGCGUCCGAUACUGGGAGGCUUGAAUCCGGGAGAGGGAUGUGGAAUUCCAGGUGUAGCGGUGAAAUGCGCAGAUAUCAGGAGGAACACCGGUGGCGAAGGCGGGUCUCUGGGCCGAUACUGACGCUGAGGAGCGAAAGCGUGGGGAGCAAACAGG
rnacentral:rRNA from 1 species